UCGUAAAAAAUAAAAUAAAAAAUGUGCGAGGCGUGCAAGGGCUGUCGCUGACUUUUGACACAAAAGUCGUGCACGCCAGAGUGUGUCCUCUCACAUAAAAUCCAUCUCACCCUUUUGUGCACCACCGCGUGGGCACCCUUCGGGAUCAAACCGAUCCAGGAGGGGGCUUGCGUUCUCACACAAACCCCCUUUUUAAAAGUGUAGAAUGACCCCAUUUUUGCGAUAACACGCAAUCAAUA
rnacentral:misc_RNA from 1 species